UGACAUCAGUGUGUGCCACUUUCCCUUCUGGGCAUUCUUGGUUCUUCUGUGAAUUAUAGCCUUCGGAGUUGCUGAGCCCGAGAGAUGAGGGCCUGUGGUUGCCUCUCAGCUUCUUCCAGACUCACCAGGGGACAUGCCCUGGCUCAGAUGUGGCUGGACUCCCUGACUACUGCUAAAGGUUUGCACUCUCCGGCCCUUCUCCUGUCUUUUUGUGUCCCACACUACCAUCUCCCUGUUCACAGCCCUAAUUGCCUAAUGGGGUGUGUGAGUGUUCAUGUUAUUCACACAUCAUUGCCUAGGAUUUUCUGCCAAAUGAUGCCCUGUUGAUACAACCUUUGUCACCUUGUUUCCCACUGUCGAUGAUUCUCUUGAGCUGUCUUUGACCAGGUUUUCAACGUGUGGUGUCAUGGGAAGAACACAAGCCAUGAAAAGGCCAAACUUGGACUUGAACCCAGGCUUUGCUGUGUGACCUAAGCUGACAAGCACGUGAGUUAAUCUCUGCACCUCACGUUCCCGCCUACAAAACAGUGGAACAGUACCUGCCACAGAGGCUGGCAGAGAGGAUUACGUGAGUCAAUAGGGACACACAUAGGACACAGCUAGGGUGGUGCCUGGCAUACAGUGGGUGCUUAAUAAAUGCUCUGUGCUAUCCAGUGAGUUUCACAAGACCCUUUAGAAGUUGCUAUCUAAGAUUUCACCUUAGAUCAAUCCUUCCAUCAAGAAAACUAAGAAAAGUUUGUCUUUUCCUAGUAAGAGCUACGUUACUGAAGGAGAAAUGAAUGGUGGGGCCAGGCGGUUCCCCAGGGAAGCCCGGGGCUAAGUCCGUGCCCCUUCCUGUCUCCCUGUCGAGGGGGUCUGGUGCCUCGUCGACGUCCAAACUGAUCGCUUUGGCGAUGCAGAUAGACAGGAUCUGGCAGAGCAUUCAGGCAAGCUUCACACUUGCUGAGCCGAAUCAUUCCCUUUGGUUACACCCCAGGCAAUGCCAAGUAAACAACUUCAGCAACCCAGACAGAGCAAUUAAAAUGAUCCUAUGCAGCUGCCUGCCAAGUGAAGUGAUUCCUGCUAAACUCUCGAUUAGCAUUCACUAAAGUGUGUUCUGUCGGACACAGGAUCAGAGGGAGGUAAAUAAGAGCCAUGGGCAGAAAAGGAUGCCUGUUAAGGGCACUCAGGGGAUUCGAGGCCAGGUCAGGCUGAGCCGGUUUCUUUCCUGCACGCCUUCUCAGGCCUCAGUGUUCUAUGCCUUGUCAAUCUCUCCACGGGCUAUACCUACAGUGUUUCUCAAACACCCCUGACUGUUC
rnacentral:lncRNA from 1 species